rfam:Haemonchus placei strain MHpl1 genome assembly, scaffold: HPLM_scaffold0000018
GGUCCAAAUUUGAAGUAGAGUAGAUUAGUAGGAUCACCUGACCAUAUUAAACUACGUUACUUCGAGUUUGUGCCC